GAUGAAGAACGCAGCGAAAUGCGAUAAGUAAUGUGAAUUGCAGAAUUCAGUGAAUCAUCGAAUCUUUGAACGCUCAUUGCGCCCGCCAGCAUUCUGGCGGGCAUGCCUGUUCGAGCGUCAUUUCAACCCUCGAGCCCCCCCGGGGGCCUCGGUGUUGGGGGACGGCACACCAGCCGCCCCCGAAAUGCAGUGGCGACCCCGCCGCAGCCUCCCCUGCGUAGUAGCACACACCUCGCACCGGAGCGCGGAGGCGGUCACGCCGUAAAACGCCCAACUUUCUUAGAGUUGACCUCGGAUCAGGUAGGAAUACCCGCUGAACUUAAGCAUAUCAAUAAGCGGAGGA
rnacentral:misc_RNA from 1 species